UGUCUCGAGAAGAAAAAAUAAAUAAAUAAAUAAAUAAACAAACAAACUAGGUUUGUGUUUUGGCUGGAUCAUUCAUUGAACCUCUCUGAAUGACUCCAUAAAAUAGAGUAAUCCCCACCUUGCAACCUCUGGAGUGAUUGUGAGAUCUAUACAUACAUGCCCAAGCAUUUUGUGCACAGAAGACUUUUGUGAGCAUUAUUGUUAUUCUUGGGGAAGCCCCACUUUGGAAUUUGUCAAAGGAUGAGACCGCAGGCUUGACUGCUUACAGGAUAGUAGUACUGACAAAAUGUUAUCAGAUUUUUUUGCCUUCUUUGGUUAAAGAACUCCUGUGUCCUGCUACUCUAAGUGAACAAAGAAAAGGUACUUCAACGUCAGGGAGCAAAGCAGAGAAUGUCCAUCUUGCAUUUUUAAAUCCUGGAUGACCACAGCAUCUUAUGUAGAUAGCCACAGUGAUGCUCAGAGGUAAUCCAGGCUAUGCGUGGAAGUGGGGGAAGUAGUUUUCAGACCCCUCUAUCCUUUUAACUUUGGGGUUAGGGUCAGGUAUACUACCUGUGAAACCUGUCAGUCAUCCAAAAAGAAAACUAACUCUGAGAAAGCUUAGUUCAAUCUGCAACCAUGACAUAUUUACUCCAGUAAACCCACUGCUCCUGCUCUUCAGACACCUCUCUUACAGAGAUCAUUCCUGGAACCAAAGGUAUCCUGUUUUCUAGCCCGGUAAGUUUAAAACAGCAACAGAUCAUAAACACCAAGCUCAGUGUCUAUGUGUGACUUCAGAGCAGUCACAGGAGGCUGGCCAGUCAGGACACAGAGGAUGCACUCCUCCCUCUCCUCCGUGCAAACCAGGUUUGAGAAGUUGCACCGCCUCAGCCGCUCUGCUUGGGUGGUAAUUCUCCACCCUUGAUCUCUUUUCUCCGUGCCCUUUCUGUGUCCUUCCUCCACCACCUCCCGGGAGAGUACCAAUUCCCAAAACAAACAUUGCAUUGCAUGUUGAUAAUGUAGUUUUGAAACAUUCCUUGCUUGUAGCUGACCCUGUUGUUGGUAUGAUUUUGGGGGGAUCUAGAUGCUGGUUUUUAAUUGUUGGAGAGAUGAGACUAUUGUAAUUCCCACACAACCUGAGAAAAGCUGUGUGAACUCGUUUUGCGUGCACCUUCUGCGUGUGCGUAUGUAUAUAUGUGUCCUCAUGGUUGUGCUCAGGCUGACAGGAAGGGCAAAGAGUAAAAAGGAAACGCGUCUUUCUUAUUUUCCAGCAUUGCUUCAAAGAUGCCCAACCCCCGCAGUACAGGCAGUUCCCAAGCGGAAGGUGGGGGCAGAGGCCUCCAGUAAGGCCAUCAAUAACCAGGUUGGCAUGGAGCUCACAGUGUAACAAAGCCUGAUCACAGACACAGCAGUUUUCCUGCAUCAGCCUCCCAGAGUGUCAGGAUUACAGGUGUGAGCUAUCACCCCAGCUCUUCUAGUUAAAAGAAACUGGCUGCAGGCUGUGCAGCUGAGGAUCUUCAGUCACGUGCCUUCCCCCAAAGAUCCUAUUAUCCCUAAAAGAUAGAAACAGUAUCUUUUAAGUUCACUUUAUAUCCAAAUAGCACUUACUGAAAUGCACUGUACUAAAUGUUUAUCAAAAGAUAAAAGAAAUGAGGACCAACAGGAGGGAAAGGGAAAGGGGGAGAGGUUAAGAUAUUGCUGGUGGAGGACAGACUUCUACCAUUGAGAAUAGGUGGAGACACUGCUGGUGGAGGACACACUUCUACCAUGGAGAAUAGGUGGGAGGGUGCCUUCAGAACGGAUGAGGGCGGAGCAGAGCUAUGUGGAACCCCAGCACCAAGAAAAGUUCUUGUUUUUUUGCUUGUUCCAAAUAAAUCAGUUUCUGUUUGUAUAGUGUAGAAUCAACGCCAGUUGUCUAAAGCCAAUUGGAAUGCAGAGACAAGCUAAGUUCUAAGGAAAAAUUAAUUGCUUGGCCAUCAUUCCUUCUUGGGGCCACACAGCUUCUGUAGCAGGGCUCAGAUAGACAUCUUUUAUCUCAUAUAAACACCUCACUUUACAAACUUCUCACUCCCUGAACAGCUAUUUCUCUCUCAACCAUUUAUAAGUGGUUGUGUAUCUUUAUCAGCUAGAAUUGGGAGUGCGGGGAGAAACAUGGAGUGAUAUGAACUAUCACAGAGGACUACCACUUCUUUCCAUAAACUAAGAACCCCGAGUCAAAGGGUAGGUGAUACAGCACAAGUAGAUUGAACUUAGGCUGGGUUCCUGUAGAAGGCCUAUGCCAUCACUGAUGUAGUAACUUGCAUGUCUUCACCCCUGCUCCCAAAGCUUCCCCCCUUUUAAGAGAAGUUCCUCUUCCCCUCCCAUUCCCCCUCCCUAAUCCCACCACCAGCUCAUCAGUUAUCCGGUUGACUCUACUCUGCAAGGACGACAUUCUCUCUGCCUGACUCAUUCAGUCCCAUUUCUUCACAGCCAUCCCCUCACCACAGACCACAAGGGCCCUGACCAGCUCAUGUUUUGUGUUAAUGGAUGUGAAACCGGAGCAAAUCCCCUCACCAAAAGAAAAACCACCCUAAACUCUCCCACACAGGUCUCAGCAGGUUACACAAAUAUUAGUCCUAUCAUCCAAAUAAAUCUGCCUCCGUGGCCAGAGUCACCCCCCGCCCCCCACAACCUCCUGCUGCCUGGGCAGAAUGAAGUUGCUCCACAAACAUCUGAGAGCCCGACUGGAUAAAGAGGGACCGGAGGGAAAGAGCAAGGCCCUAUAUCCAGAAUUCCCUGCGAAAGCUCCUUAAUCUCCAGUCUGUUGUCAAGACCAGACAGCCCUAAAUUAGAAGUUCCUAGAGAAGUUAGGAUGUACUUGAUCAGUCAGAGGUUUGAUGAAGUAUAUCUGUUGGCUGUUAAAUCUCAAUAUCUGAGCGAGGCAUGCAUCCUCAUUUUACAGAUAAAAAAACGGGCCCGGAGGAUUGAAAGAGCCUGCUGAAAAUAAAAAACACAGUGAGUGCGUAAAUAACUGGCAUCGAACCUCGGUCCGUCAGACUGCAGAUUUCUAUAAUAUUGCUGUUUAUCAGUAGGCAAGAUGAUCACUGUGUAGUCAUACAAAACUAGGCCAUCAAGAUUUCAAAGCCCAUAUCCAUAUUCUAGCUUUCCAUGCCUGCUGUCUUUGAAGAUUCCACUACUGCAUACUCUAGUUAGACUAGUAGCAUAGAGGGAACCUCCCCUGCUUAAGUCCAUCAUGGAUGGGCAGUAGUUAUCAGUAGGACUUGAAGAAUCACAAAAUAAAGACUUGCUGAGUAAAUA